UAGAGCAGAGGGUGAGCCGCU
rnacentral:siRNA from 1 species